AUUGAACGCUGGCGGCAGGCCUAACACAUGCAAGUCGAACGGUAACAGGAAGAAGCUUGCUUCUUUGCUGACGAGUGGCGGACGGGUGAGUAAUGUCUGGGAAACUGCCUGAUGGAGGGGGAUAACUACUGGAAACGGUAGCUAAUACCGCAUAACGUCGCAAGACCAAAGAGGGGGACCUUCGGGCCUCUUGCCAUCGGAUGUGCCCAGAUGGGAUUAGCUAGUAGGUGGGGUAACGGCUCACCUAGGCGACGAUCCCUAGCUGGUCUGAGAGGAUGACCAGCCACACUGGAACUGAGACACGGUCCAGACUCCUACGGGAGGCAGCAGUGGGGAAUAUUGCACAAUGGGCGCAAGCCUGAUGCAGCCAUGCCGCGUGUAUGAAGAAGGCGUUCGGGUUGUAAAGUACUUUCAGCGGGGAGGAAGGGAGUAAAGUUAAUACCUUUGCUCAUUGACGUGACCCGCAGAAGAAGCACCGGCUAACUCCGUG
rnacentral:rRNA from 1 species